rnacentral:rRNA from 1 species
UACGGGGGGGGGCAAGCGUUGUUCGGAAUUACUGGGCGUAAAGGGCUCGUAGGCGGCCAACUAAGUCGGAUGUGAAAUCCCCAGGCUCAACUUGGGAACUGCAUCCGAUACUGGAUGGCUUGAAUCCGGGAGAGGGAUGCAGAAUUCCAGGUGUAGCGGUGAAAUGCGUAGAUAUCUGGAGGAAUACCGGUGGCGAAGGCGGCAUCCUGGACCGGCAUUGACGCUGAUGAGCGAAAGCUAGGGGAGCAAACGGGG